rnacentral:rRNA from 1 species
CCAUGCAUGUGUAAGUUCAUUUUCGAUUUAUGAAAGAGACUGCGAAGCGCUCAGUAAAUCAGUUAUAGUCCGUUCAAUUGUAACUAUGUGGAUAACUGUGGUAAAUCUACAGCUAAUACAUGAUACAAUCCAGGAGGUUGAUCCGCAAGGGUUAAUCUUUUGGAGCAUUUAUUAGCCAAAACCAACAGAGCAGCUUUGGGUUUACCUGAAGAUGCUUUAGUUGAAUCUAAAUAACUGUGCAUAUCCCGGCAAAUGCCGGGAAAUUUUGAUCGAAUUUCUGCCCUAUCAACUUGUUGGUAAGGUAGUGGCCUACCAAGGUUUUGACGGGUAACGGGGAAUCAGGGUUCGAUUCCGGAGAGGGAGCCUGAGAAACGGCUACCACUUCCAAGGAAGGCAGCAGGCGCGCAAAUUACCCAAUCCAGACAUUGGGAGGUAGUAACGAGAAAUAUCAAGGUGAGCCACUGGUUCACUAUUGAAAUGAACGUAAUGUAAAUACUUUGAUGAGUAACCACUGGAGGGCAAGUCUGGUGCCAGCAGCCGCGGUAAUUCCAGCUCCAGUAGUGUAUUUCAAAAUUGUUGCGUUUAAAACGCUCGUAGUCGGAUGACAAGGACAUUUUGUGCUGCCGUCUGCGUACGAGUGGUACAAGAUGUCCUUUAUUUGCAAGCACCAGUUGUGGGCUUUAAUGCUUGUGGCUGGUCACUUGCAAGGCGUGCCUUGAAUAAAGCAGAGUGCUCAAAGCAAGUGUAACGCUAGUAUGUAAUAGCAUGGAACAAAGAGUGUUGAUUCUGGUUCAGUUUGUUGGUUUGGCGGAAGCGGUUGCAAGACUGUAGUCUGCCUACGGAUAUUGGCCGGUCAAACGGUCAGUGUCCGGACUGAAUCGGGUCCUGGUUAAAAGGGCCAUUUGAGGGCGUUAGUACUUGGUGGCGAGAGGUGAAAUUCUUAGACCCAUCAAAGACUGACUAAUGCGAAAGCAUUCGCCAAGAGUGUUUUCAUUGAUCAAGAACGAAAGUUGGAGGUUCGAAGACGAUCAGAUACCGUCCUAGUUCCAUACAGUAAACUAUGCCAACACGGGAUUAGUUCGAAAUUUAUUCAAGUUGGUCCCCCCGUGAAAACUCAAGUUUUCGGGCUACGGGGAGAGUACGAUCGCAAGAUAGAAAUUUAAAAGAAUUGACGGAAUGGCACCACAAGGAGUGGAGCCUGCGGCUUAAUUUGACUCAACACGGGGCAACUCACCAGGUCCGGACAUCGGAAGGAUUGACAGACUGAUAGAUCUUUCAUGAUUUGAUGAUUGGUGGUGCAUGGCCGUUCUUAGUUGGUGGAGUGAUCUGUCAGGUUUAUUCCGGUAACGAGCGAGACCACGGUGUCUAGUUAAUGGCAGGAGCUAAUUUACUAGCUCUUGAUUCUAGACAGACAACCGGAUUGAAACCGGGGGAAGCGUGGCAAUAACAGGUCUGUGAUGCCCUUCGAUGUUCUGGGCUGCACGCGCGCUACAAUGGCAACGACAGAAAGCUUAGUUGUAUCGAGAGAUGUGACGAACCAGUAAUCGUUGUCGUGAUUGGGAUUGAGCGUUGUAAUAUUUGCUCAUGAAAGAGGAAUUCCUCGUAAGCGCGAGUCACCAACUCGUGUUGAAUACGUCUCUGCCCUUUGUACACACCGCCCGUCGCUACUACUGAUUGAACUGGUUUUUGAAGCGUAGGGAUUGGCAGAAGGAUUUUAUCCUAAUGCCGAAAACCACCCUGAAAAAAUCGUCGAGAAGAAGUAA